GAUGAAGAACGCAGCGAAAUGCGAUAAGUAAUGUGAAUUGCAGAAUUCAGUGAAUCAUCGAGUCUUUGAACGCACAUUGCGCCCCCUGGUAUUCCGGGGGGCAUGCCUGUCCGAGCGUCAUUGCCGCCCUCAAGCACGGCUUGUGUGUUGGGCCCCCGCCCCCCGGCUUCGGGGGGCGGGCCCGAGAGGCAGCGGCGGCACCGCGUCCGGUCCUCGAGCGUAUGGGGCUUCGUCACCCGCUCUGUAGGCCCGGCCGGCGCCCGCCGGCGACCCCAAUCAAUCUUUCCAGGUUGACCUCGGAUCAGGUAGGGAUACCCGCUGAACUUAAGCAUAUCAAUAAGCGGAGGA
rnacentral:misc_RNA from 1 species